AGGCCACUGCGCGACGCGACAGGCAGCAAUUACCCCGGGGCCGAUAAUUAGACUCCUAGGGAGCUGUCCCUGACCGAGGCCGUGGCUUCGGACACACGGUGCCCACCUGCUUAUGCAGGCCACGGAGGAAUGCACGCCACCGGUCGAUGCGGGGCCUU
rnacentral:other from 1 species